ensembl:snRNA U6 U6 spliceosomal RNA
GUGCUCACCAGUAGCAUAUAUGUUAGAAUGGGAAUGGUGCAGAGAUUAGCAUGGCCCCGUGCAAGGAUGACACUCAGAUUCAGGAAGCAUUCCAUACUUCU